ACGGCUGCUCAGUAACACGUAGUCGACUUACCCUAUGGACGAGGAUAAUCUCGGGAAACUGAGCAUAAUACUCGAUAGAUCAUAAUGCCUGGAAUGGUUUAUGGUUGAAAUGAUUCGUCGCCAUAGGAUGGGACUGCGGCCUAUCAGCUUGUUGGUGAGGUAAUGGCCCACCAAGGCGAUUACAGGUACGGGCUCUGAGAGGAGAAGCCCGGAGAUGGGUACUGAGACAAGGACCCAGGCCCUAUGGGGCGCAGCAGGCGAGAAAACUUUGCAAUGUGCGAAAGCACGACAAGGUUAAUCCGAGUGAUUUCUGCUAAAGAAAUCUUUUGCAAGUCAUAAAACCACUAGUGAAUAAGGGGUGGGCAAGUUCUGGUGUCAGCCGCCGCGGUAAAACCAGCACCUCAAGUGGUCAGGAGGAUUAUUGGGCCUAAAGCAUCCGUAGCCGGCUCUGUAAGUUUUCGGUUAAAUCCAUGUGCUCAACGCAUGGGCUGCCGAAAAUACUGCAUAGCUAGGGAGUGGGAGAGGUAGGCGGUACUCGGUAGGAAGGGGUAAAAUCCUUUGAUCUAUCGAUGACCACCUGUGGCGAAGGCGGUCUACCAGAACACGUUUGACGGUGAGGGAUGAAAGCUGGGGGAGCAAACCGGAUUAGAUACCCGGGUAGUCCCAGCUGUAAACGAUGCAGACUCGAUGAUGUAUUGGCAUAUAGCCAGUGCAGUGUCGCAGGGAAGCCGUUAAGUCUGCCGCCUGGGAAGUACGUACGCAAGUAUGAAACUUAAAGGAAUUGGCGGGGGAGCAG
rnacentral:rRNA from 1 species